AAACUGAAGAGUUUGAUCAUGGCUCAGAUUGAACGCUGGCGGUAUGCUUAACACAUGCAAGUCGAACGGUAGGUACUUCGGUACUGAGAGUGGCGGACGGGUGAGUAACGCGUAGGAAUCUGCCCUGUAGUGGGGGACAACGUGGGGAAACUCACGCUAAUACCGCAUACGCCCUAAGGGGGAAAGCGGGGGAUCUUCGGACCUCGCGCUAGAGGAUGAGCCUGCGUGGGAUUAGCUAGUUGGUAGGGUAAAGGCCUACCAAGGCGACGAUCCCUAGCUGGUCUGAGAGGACGAUCAGCCACACUGGGACUGAGACACGGCCCAGACUCCUACGGGAGGCAGCAGUGGGGAAUAUUGGACAAUGGGCGCAAGCCUGAUCCAGCAAUACCGCGUGU
rnacentral:rRNA from 1 species